UUUCUUUUCUUUGUUAUCCCCGAAGAUGAAGAGAAAGAGUUUUUUUUACCUCACUCUCGACAAAAAAAUGUAACUGGAAAAAUCCCUGCCCUGUUCGGCAAAGGAUCGACUGCGGGGGAGGAAAAUGUUUCAAACAACAAUACAAUCGCUUUUUUAUUACGUCAUUUAUACACAAUUCAUUGAAUUUCGCUUUCAUUCUCGGGAGCUCGAGGAAAAAUUCUACCCUGUUCUCUGUUUUCGGUUUUUCAUUCUCCGCCGGAGUGACGUUUACCCGCAUUCUUUUCUUCGUUUUUUUUUCUUCUCUCUUCAGUGGGGGUGAGCGAUUGAACAACUUACUUUCCGAUUCUUGUCUUUUAUCGCUUUGUUUGCUGUGUGUCCAAAUAUUGAGUAAUCUGUUCUUUGCUACAAAUCGAAACGUUGUCGGGGGGAAAGCAGGGAAGAAAAAAAAAUCGUCAAAUCAUCAUUGAUUGACGAGGGUUCACUGCAAGGAGCAUCGGAGGGGAAAGCGAAUUCGCCUGUUGAUUCGGUUGCUUCGAUUUUUGACACCUACUUCGAGCUCAUAGGUCAACUCCGCCCAUCUUGAAGAAUUAGCUGGGUACGCUACCAAAUCCACUUAGUGACCUCUACUGCUGGUGGUACUGCCCUUUUCAACGACUUUCACCUCCCCACACCCGGGGUUGGAAUCCCUUGGCAUAACAUCUGCCAACACCGUGUGUUUGUUUAGGGCUGAUUUAUCGCUAGCCCCUCGCCAUCUUCUCUGGCCGUCUCAGUCGGUAGAUCAAAGAAGGCGCUUGAGAAAAUUGAACACCCUCUGACCGUCGCCCGUCCCAAAAGCCGGAACUCAUUUGCAUCCAUCGUCUUGCAGAGCAAGACAAGACGACGCUAGGCGUUAGAAUAAAUAUUCCAAACAGGUUCGGGAUCACUUUUCAGCUCAAUUUUCCAAUCAUCUGCCCCCUGAUACGGCUGGCAGAGCGAUAAAUUGUUCGACCCUUAUAAAAAAAACUUCUCCUCUAUUGAGCUGAGAUUUUUUUCUUUGAUUUCUUGUUGUUCAAAGAAAGAUGGAUCAGCGGUGUCAUGACGGGUCGAGUCGAACCAAUCAAGUGCCGCCGGCCGAAGGUCAAAAGUUUUUUCCCUUCGUCUAAAAAGGAAAAAAAGGCGGAUGUUUACACAAAUUUCAGCCACUGUUUAUUUUCUUUCUGGAAGUCCCCUUCUUGUGGAAGCAAGAAAAAAAAGGAUUUUAUUGUUAUUGGUUUAUGCCACUUUCGUAGCCGAUAGGUCCACCACCUUCGUCGUCGUCGACGCUCCAACCUGCCGCGCGGGAACGAAGCGGAAAACUUUCCACUUGAUUUGUUGACGGUGGAAUUUUCACACCAGCUUACGAACUUCUCUGCAGCCGAUGCGGAUCCUUUCGGGGGAGAAAAGGGAAAAAUAAAUAAACAGUAUCGGAAACAACUCCCCCGCCCAGUUCGGUUGAUCCAAGGAAAUAUAGAAAGAAAGUCGUCCUGAUCUAGCGAGGAGGGGCGGACGCGGCAAGGUUGAAACAUCAAAUUUUACUCACUGAUAGGCGAUUAUCUUGUUUACAGCGGGCGGUAACGUGAUCGAAACGUUUGCCAGCGAAUAUCGGGGAGUUCGGGUUGUGCAGCAUAAAAAUUUAAUAUCUCUAUAAGCUGUUUGUUUUCGUGGCGCUUGGCCCUGUGCGAUUUAUUGGCGUGAGAAAAGAAAUAGUCUUCGGGGGAAGCUCAGAAGCGAUUAGUAUUGAUUUUGGACUUUGUCUAGCUCGGUCGAGGAAAACAAUAACAACUUUUCGGCUGUUGUUUGGUGGCAGAGCCGAUACGAGCGAACAAGGAUGCGGGUGUAAAUCCGAAAUUGAACCAUAAAAAGUUAUACGCCCGCUUUUUUCGUCCGUGCUGCUGCCAGUGAGUGUGGAAAGGAAGAAAAAGGGCUCCAGCAGAAUUUCUUGCGAGGAAUUUGAUGCCUAACUUGCCAUUUUUGAGGUGAGCCGUUUAGCGGUUGGUUCUGGUGGUUUUGUGAGGGGUAUUUAUGGUUAUGUUUAAGCUAUUGAUUUCCUCUGGGGCGAGAGUGUUUGUCUGCUUGGAAGUGUUUACAACGUUUAAUCGAGGUUUUAAGAGGCUGUUGUUUCGGGUGUUUCUGAUUAAGCGUACAACAGCGUAGCUAAUAUCGCUAAUUGAGUCAACUCCAGUGGAAGAAGUCCUCUUGCACCGAGAGCAGCAACUCACCUUCCGCAGGGCUAUUUUUCUUUUUCUCUAUGCUUUGUGGCACCAUAAGCUAACAUAAAUAAUAGAAGCCACCAGACAAUGGCCGUCUGCUGCUGGCUGCCACCCCGGGCGGUUCAUAUACUGCAAUCCAUAAUUCCCUUCCCUAAGGGGGGAAGCAGCAGCACAUGAGAAGCCAGGACUCCCGAAAAAUUAGUAAAGUCAGUGCCGAAGAAAAGUGAACAGGAGAAACAGGGACUGCCAGCUUCUGCCACUGCAGCAGUGCCAGUGUGUAUUUUGUUUUAUUUCAUUAAUUUUCUCCCCGAGUUCACACAUUCGACGCUGACGAUGGCCAGAGGCCGGAAACCUAGCAGAGUAAGAAAGCGGGAGGGAGGUUACACGUAUCCAACUUGCACUCACGGAAGUUGGAACAGCAGAAGUUGUUCGCUCGUGCGCCCCAUCCCCUUGUUCCUCGCAGCCUAGCGCAGGAAGGACGAUGCGAUAUAUUGGUUAUUUAUUUUUUUGGUGCAAUGCCGCGAUCCUCGCCCUUCUGUGCUUACCCCGAGGCUUAAGGAAGUUGGCGCGAUUUUUCCCAAAGGUCGGACAGAAGAACUUUACGGGAAACGACCCGAAGAGAAACAUUAACAUGUAAAUUUCUACCUUCUGGGCUGGUUUGUGUCUCGCAACCGAAAACGGGGGGAGUUUCUCUCGUUGUCGAGUUUUGGUGGUUUCGGUUCGAUUUCGGUGCUCUUAUUUACACCGCAAUUGGCUCCGAAACUAGUAGUAGUACUUUUUGGUUCAUAAUUUAAGUUCGGUAAGUUUCCAAGCCCGCAUUUUUCAACUAUCUCUCGAAUUGCUUCGUUGAUUCAGUGGUCGUUUUAUUAUAGCGUCGUUUUAUUAUAGCGUCGAACAGAAUUGGACGGCAUGCGAUCAGACUGAACCAAGCGCCAUUUGUUUCAAAAUGAAGGUUUUGACACCAUGGGAUGUAAGAAUGAUAAUCAAUUAUUCAUGUAAAAACCCUAAAAGAUUUGAAAAGUUCAUAUAGGGUAAUCGCUCCAUUAUUCAUCUCAACAGCCAGGUGCACCUAUAUUCAUCUUGUUUCUCCCAUUUGUCCAAUUUACCGUCAAAUUUCUACAAACUUUUCAAAGUAAAUCUAUUUGCUUCUCGAUUUACUCAAGUGGUUGAGAGUUUUACGUAGAAAAUAUGGUAUAAUUUGACGAUAAAUUGAUUAAAAAGGCGUGAUGAGAUGAAUAUAGGUACUGAGAUAAAUAUAGGAGCGAUUACCCUAUAUAUUAAAAAAAAUCUCUGUAGCAGCUUGCAGAAAACAUACGGGAAGAUUAAACUUUGAAUGCCGACUACUCGAAAUAAUCAUUUUGGUGCUAAGUUCGGACUGAUUGCACGCCGACCUAGAGUGAAAAGUAUGUAAACUAAACUAACACGGUUGGUCUUUAUUGAGUACAAAUAAUUGAUUUGUGACUUAUUGAUAACUCAAAAAGGGGCCGAAGAAAACCACUGACGGAGACGUUCGAUACCCUAUUUUACUUCUUCAAGGAAAUACAACUUUUUAGCCUUAACGGUGGAUCAAAACCUUACAUUUUUUAUAUGUCCGACGUUUCGACCUUCGGACAUAAGUUUCCUCAGGGGAUCUACAAAUUUAUUAAAUUUGCAGAAUGCCUGAGAAAGGCCAAAUUUGAAAGCCGAAACGUCGGACAUAAAAUCAACAGUGGAUCCACUAUUUAACUGAAAAGAGUUUCUGAAUACUUUAAAAAAGAAAAAAUACGAUAACACUUCUCAGCACAGGCUUUUCCCAAGAGUUCAAACUGAAAAUAAAUGGAAAAUAAUAGCAUUUCAACUAUCUCGAAAGUCGUUCUAUUCCUACCUGUAAAUCGAAAAAAAUAUUAAAUGAUCAGAUCAGAUUAGUGAAUAUUCAACAAUCGGAUAAUUGAAACUAAUCGGACAUUCUUAGUAAACGAUUUAAAAAUGGAAACCCAUGUAAACGGUAUGUUAACACAGCGUAAAAAACGCAUUUUCUGGGGAAUCCGCUUUAAAGUAAACCUCGUAAAUUCUGAAAUCCACUCUAGUGUAUUUUUAUGACCAGGCAUAAGGGGUUUCGAAAUCCCAAUGAAGACGAAUGUUCUGUACGCUAAAUUUGAAAUUGGGCUAUGAAAAGAAAUUUCACAAAAAGGUGUGGUCACGCAGAUAAUAGAAUGACAAAUAAAAAAUAUACUUACGAUUUUGUGUCAGUUGCAUUUGCGAAAUCAACACUAAAAAGAUUUUGGUUUCCAUCCAACCUUCAAACAAAGCGAUCCUUCUGUUCACUAGAGCUCAGCGUCACCGAACUGCAUAGUUUUUCAUUUUUAUACGUAACUUCCUGUGAUACUUAAAAAAAAAAACAAAAAAAGCGACAGAAUAAAAACUGAUGGAAGAAGUACGGCAUAAACGAAACAAAAUUAAAGUAAUUUGAGGGAUCAGUUAUACUAAUUGUUAUUCGGAAGCUACUGGGUUGCAUUAUGAUAACUCAAUUACGUAUAGCAUGAAGGAGUUUCUAUCUGCAAAGCUCAAAAUAUAAGUUGAAAAGUUGACACUAUUGAAAUUUACAGUGCUACGGUAACCUUGAAGGCCUGUCCUCAGACUUUUGACCGUUUUAGCAGGGCUAUUUCAAAGUACUUCCCAUACAAAAGUAACGAAACUAUUGCUUAUUUUUCAUGGGAAUUUAAAUAUAUACGAAUAUUUGGUCAAAUUGCCUGACGUUUCGGCCAUUUAGGGUUUUUUUUCAAUGGGAUUUCUCAUAGAAAAUUUGAAGGUUAGCAUCUUCUACACUAAUUUUUUACUUUUAAAUUAUUCGACGUUGUUAUUGUUUUGGCGAACUUUUUCAUGGAACUUUAACCCAUUAAAAUUGUCAAAAUUUAAACUUUUCUGCAUUCCUCAGAACUUUUAUAUGUAAAUAUAUCAAAAUUUAGUUAAAUUGCUUGACGUUUCGACCAUUUUGGAUAGUCUUUUCCAGCAGGUUUCUCAUUAAAAAUAUCAAAAUUGAUCUUCUACAUUCUCCAAGACUUCCAAAUCUUCGAAGACUCCCAAAAAAAUUAGAAAAUCUAAUUGAAUUGCCCGACGUUUCGGUCGUUCACUGGCCUUUCCACAAAAAAUCGUAUCGUUUUCGAAGGACUUUUCACAAAAAAAAAUGAUAAUUCAGAAUCUUUUACAUUCUUAAGGACUUCUAAGAAUUCUGAAAAAUAUAUGAACAUCUGAUUGAAUUGCUUGCUUUGUCGUUUAUGGUGGACUUUUUCAAAGAACUCCACAUUAAAAUAUGACAAAAUUAUGAAUGCUUCUUCUUCUUCUUCUUCGUCAUGGUGCCCCAUAGAAAAUAUCAACGUUUAUAACCUUCUAUUGAAUGCUGUUUUGGUGGAAUUUUUUAGAAAGUUAAAAUUUGAAACCAUUUACAAUCAUUUUUUCAAAGAAAUAUAUCACAAUCUACUCAAAUUAUUUGACGUUUCGGCUAUUUUAAAUGGGUUUUUCCAGGGGAUUUUCCAUAACAAAUGUUAUAUUAAGAAUCAUUCAAUUUAUUUUGAGAGUGAAAAAAUACCACAAUCUAAUUGGUCUACCCGAUGUUUCGGUCGUUGUCGGUGGCCAUUUUAGAAGAACUUCUCAUGAGUAAUGUCAACAUUCAGAAUCUUGUACAUUCUUUAAGAUUUCUGACACUCUACUUCUAAACUCUGAAAAUGUAUACGAAAAUUUAGUUAAAUUGCUGGACGCUUCGGUCGUUUUUCAUGGUCUUUUACAAAGAACUCCCCAUAAAAAUCUUACAAAACUAAGAACCUUCUAUAUUUUUCCAGUUUUAAAGAAAUAUACAACAAGUUCGACCAAUUUGAAUGCAUUUUUUUUUCACGGUACUUUCCAUAAAAAAUUACAAAAUUUAAAAUGUUUUCUGUUCUUUAGUGUUAUUUGAAAGAAAUACACGAUAAUCUAGUUACAUUCUCGAAGUUUCGGCUAUGUUUGUGACCUUUUUCAAAGCAUUUCGCAUCAAAAGUAUCAAAGCUUAAAACCUUCUGCAUUAUGCUGGACUUUUAAAUUGUUCGACGUUUCGGCUGUUUUUGGCGGAAUUUUUCCAUUCAAAAAUCAAAAUUUGAAAUCAUGUACAAUCAUUUCUUUGAAUAAAUAUAUUUAAAAGUGUUUCUCCAGGGGAUUUUCCAUUACAAAUGUCAUAUUCAAAAUCUUCCAGUUUAUUUAGAAAAGAAUAACAAAAUACGACAAUCUAAUUGAUCUGCCCGAUGUUUCGGCCGUUGUCGGUGGCCAUGUCAGAGAGAGAGUUUCCAUGAAAAAUGUCAAAAUUUGGGAUCUUCAACAUUUUUUGCAACUCCCAAAGCUUUUAAAGCUUCUUAAAUAAAUAAGAAAAAAAAAGAAAAAAAAUAAGAAAAUCUCCACAAGAAAAUAUGACAAAAUUAUGAAUGCUUCUUAUUCUUCAUGGUUUCCCAUAGAAAAUGUCAACGUUUAUAACUUUCUUUUGAAUGCUGUUUUGGUGGGCUUUUUCAAAAAGUUAAAAUAUGAAACCAUUAUCAAUCAUUUUUUCAAAGAAAUAUGUCACUCGAAUCGCUUGACGUUUCGUCCAUUUUAAAUGGGCUUUUCCAGGGGAUUUUCCAUAACAAAUAUUCAGAAUCGUUCAAUUUAUUUUGAGAACAAAAAAAAACUACCACAAUCUAAUUGAUCUGUCCGACGUUUCGGCCGUUGCCGGUGGCUGUUUUAUAAGGACUUGCCAUGAAAAUGUCAACUUUCAGAAUCUUCUACAUUCUUUAAUAUUGCUGACACUUUUAAGACUUCGAAAAAUGUAUAAGAAAAUUUAGUUAAAUUGUUGGACGUUUCGGUCGUUUUUCAUGGUCUUUUGCAAAGAACUCCCCAUAAAAAAUUACAAAACUAAGAAUCUUCUAUAUUUUUCCGAAAAAUUUUCAAGAAAUAUACAACAAUUUUGACCAAUUUGAGUGCCUUUUUACAGGGGACUUUCCAUAAAAAAAUACAAAAUUUGAAAUGUUUUCUGUUCUUUAGUGUUAUUCGAAAUAAUUAUACGAGAAUCUAGUUACAUUCCCGAAGUUUCGGCUAUUUUUGUGACCUUUUUCAAAAUAUUUCCCAUCUAAAGUAUCUAAAUUUAACACCUUCUGCAUUAUUCUGGACUUUGAAAUUAUUCGAAUUUCCGGCUGUUUUGGCGUGCUUUUUCAGGGAACUUCCCAUGAAAGAAUCAAAACUUGAAAUCAUUAACAAUCAUUUCUUUGAAGAAAUUUUUCAUAAUUCAUCCAAAUUCGUUGACUUUUCGGUCAUUUUAAAAGUGCAUCUCCGGAGGAUUUUUCAGUCAUAUUCAGAAUCUUCCAGUUUAUUUUGAGAAAAAUAAUAAAAUACGCCAAUCUAAUCGAUCUGCCCGAUGUUUCGGCCGUUGUCGGUGGCCAUGUUGAAGAGAGUUUCCAUGAAAAAUGUCAAAAUUUAGGAUCUUCAACAUUUUUAUAACUUCCAAAGCUUUUAGGACUUCUUAAAAAAAUAAUAAAAUAUAGCUGAAUUACCCGACGUUUCGGUCAUUUCGGGUGGACUUUUUCAAAGAACUCAACAUGAAAAAUGACAAAAUUAAAUAUUUUUGAUAUUCUUCAUGACUUGAAAAAAUACGACAGCUUUUUGAAUUGUUUAUAAUUUGGGUUGUUUUAAUGCCUUUUAGCCUAUACCACAAUCAAGUUAAACUUUUAUGACAUAUUGGCCAUUUUAUGUAGUCUUUCUCAGAGAACUUCCAAUAAAAAUGUCAUAAUUGAAAAUGUUUUAGUUAAUUUAAAAAAGAAUUCUACGAAAAAAACUACGAUCUAUUGAUCUACCCAAGGUUUAGCCGUUUUUGGUGGCCGAGUGUCAAAUUUAGAAUCUUUUACUUUCUUUGACACUUCUAAAGUUUUUGAGAAACAUACUUUUCAGUUAACUCCCCAUGAAAAAUAACAAAAUUAAGAAUAUUCUCUAUUCUUCAAUUUUUUAAUGGAAUAUACCACAAUUUAUUCAAAUUGUUUGACGUUUCGGCCAUUUUGAAUGGUCUCCUUCAGGGCACUUUCCGUGAGGAAUAUCAAAGUUUAUAAUCUGUUUGUUUGUUGUUGUUGGUUACCAAAUCAAAGGAACUUUUUAUGAUAAAAUGUCAAAAUUUAGAAUUUUCGACAUUCUUAGAGGAUUAAAAUUUCUAAGACUUCUGACAAACUAAACGAAAAUUUAAUUAAAUUGUUAGACGUUCCGGUCGAUUUUAGGAGGACUUUAUCACAGCGUUACAAAGCGAGCGAGAAGCAAAAUAUUUCUUCUCCUUUCUGCUUGUGAACGAGGCAUAUGCUACACUUCUCAAGUGAUUUUCACAAAUGCUUUAAAGAUACUCUUUAUCCUUUAUGAAUUCCCUUGAGUAUCAGCAAGCCCGUACCGACACGCAAAAACUCUUUUGUAUUGCUACUCAGCCACUUUUUAAAAAAAUACGCUAAUUCCUGCUUGCGAGUAGAAAAAAUCACUCAUCCGGAGAAUCACUUCCGAUUUUUUAUCGCAUGGAAUCGUUUUGGUGAUUUUCAUUUGUCAACAAUGAUACGGCUGCUUAGUUACAGAUAUGAAAAAAAAGCACCAGUGAUAAUUUCAGGAUAAUUAAUACUGGAAAUUUUCGUUUCUUGAAGACGAAAAUUCUCUCACCGAUUUUUUUCACAGUUCAAUAGUUUUAAGCUGCAAAUUUUGCAAUACAUUCAACAUCGAAUCAACGACAUAAAAUGAUAAGUCCAAUUUUAUAUCAUUGUGAGACAAAUCUAAAGAUUUGUCACACAAUGAUAUAAAAUUGGACUCAUAAAGUAUAAAGUAUAGAAGGAAUCAAAUUAGUCACUCGAUGAUUCGCUAAGGUAUUUCUUGGUUGAAACCUCCAAACUAUAAGGCAACUAAAAUCUCAAUCUUGCAUGUACUUCAUGUAGGGUAGCGAACGACUUCGUCAGUGGUUUUCUUUGGCAGGUUUUCUACAGCGAUCUUAUGCAGGAACCUGCCGAAGAAAACAUGAAAGCUUGCAUGUAAUAUUCUUGAAUACAUGCUUUCUGGAAAUUUGUUUGAUGCGUCCCGGCCACAAUACCGGUAUCUAAAUUCCUAUUUCUAGAAGACAGCACCCCAAGAACAUCCAGCUUUCAUUUUUGCUUACAUAUUUCAAAAGAAGAAAAUUAGCUUCUCGGUUUGGGCGUGUUGUACCUGUCUACACGUGUGAAAAAAAAAUCGAAAGCGCGAAACGAAGGUAGGGUAUUGGACUGCUUUAGUAAGUUUUUUACAGCAGUCUUAUGCAAAACCAGCCGAAAAAAAUCGCUGCCAAAGUAGUCCGAUUAUUUUUUUACAACCAUCACGAAGCAUCUUGAAACAAUUGCCUUCAGCUGGUCGUUCUCGCGAGUAGGGGAGUAGGUACACUACACACGAGCACACACGAGGAGAGUAGACGGGAGUGUGGGCAUAUGAUCUCGAGAGCGAUUGCGAGCAAGAAAGAAAGCGAAAACGAACGAGAAAUAGCUUGAAUGAAUAAUUAUCCAGUGUGUGAUAGCGGUAGCAACGAGAAGCUCACAUGAGGUGUUGCAUGCUGCUUACGAGCGAGACUACCAACAAUGGUUUUUCAAAGAACUCCCCAUAAAAAAUGACAAAACUUAGAUUGUUUCCUGUUAUUCAGAGAUAUUUAGAAAAAGAGAGUCUGGGUAAAUUGCCCGACGUUUCGGCUGUUUUGGUGACUUUUCCUAAGGGUUCUCCAUAGAAUUAAUAUAUGUAUUAUUUUGGACUUUUGAGUUACUCGACGUUCCGGCUGUUUUAGUGUACUUUUUCUUCCCAUGAAAAAUGUCGAAAUUUGAAACCUGCUGCAGUUUUUAAGAUUGUGCUAAGGAAACCUACAACAAUUUGUUUCAAUAUUCUGACAUUUUGGCCAGUUUUAAUGGUAUUUUACAGAGGACUUUACAUAAAAAAUGUCAAUUUUUUAUAUUUUAUACGAAAAUCCUAUUAAAUUACCUGACAUUUUUGUCGUUUUUAGGUAAUUAUUUCAAAGAAAUCCACACAAAAAAUGACAAAAUUAGAAUCUGCAAUAUUCAGGACUUUUUAAAAGACUGUACAACAAUCUACUUAAAUUGUUCGAACAUUUUAAAUGAUAAUUUUCAGGGACUUCUCAAAAAAAAGACAACAUUUAGAAGGUUUCCUAUUCUUCAGGGUAACCAAAAAAAUGAGAUCUAAAUCUAAAUUAGAAUUUAGAUUUCCGACGUUUCGGCCGUUUUAGUGGAUGAAAAGUUUCAAAAUUUCAAAAACUCCUAAAGUUUAAUUGAACGGUUUCGAUGGUUUUUGAAGGACUUCUAUGAAAAACUCAACAGGAAAAUUAAAAAAUUAAGAUUCUUUUUUGUGUUUUUGUGGGGAUUUCUCAUAGAAAGUUUCAAAAUUUAGAUUAAUUAAUUUUGUCAACUAAAUUACAAUUCAAAAAAAAAAUAAAAAAUUGACACUAUUAAAAUCAAACAGUCCAACGGUAACCUUGACGGAAGCCCGUCGGAAAACAACUCGAGCGCAUAUAUUAACCCCUGUUUCCUUCCGUCACACAUUCCACCGCUCCUAACGCAGGAUGUUGUCCCGCAAGAAAGCUCCCGCUGAUUGAAAUCAAAAUUCCGCCUUUCCCAGCAGCGAACAACACAAACAAUCGUCCGCAAACAAUGCAAAAACUAGUCCAAACUUUGUCCAAAGUCUUGCAAACAGCAAGCAGCAGCUUUCGCCAAGAUGAAGUGAUAACGACACUAAAUUCCGAUCCCCACCCAAAAAAGGGACUUGCUAGUCGAGCACACAGUACACGCGUUUAUUUGCAAAUGGAACAAUAAAACAUUGAAAACCCAUUUGCAUACCUACAUACACACGAACACACACUCACUCCUAGUCUCACCCCCCUCCGACAGCGGUAAUACGAAGGAAAACAUACGCCAAUCCAAGCAAGCCUGGUUGGAUGUGCGCUGUGUCUCAAACUGCCGCCGCCGCCGCCGUGUAAGUCGAGAUCGAGAUCAUAAAUUCCUUAAACCUCCUUCUCCUUCUCCUCCAAACAUCGAAGCACCUUACACACUCACACUACCCGACUCACAGAAGGUUUUCCUUUCGCCCAGCAAUUACUGUUUCUUGUCUGUCUCUUCCCUGCUGCUAGUAGUCGAAUUCGGAACCUGAACUCCACGACGUCGUCGUUUGCAUUCGCUACAGCAGAUUCGAAAGAUACGCGGCGACGCGACUCUAGGGCCAAACCUCUCGGACCACCCAGAGCUGGGAACCCUAGACUCACGUACGCUGCGGAAUGCGUUUAAGAUGGUAUCGAAUCGCAUAUAUUUUGGCCCGUACGAACCGGCGAACACAGGCGGCAGUGCUUCCUUGCGCUUUAAUUUUCCUCACACAUCCAACGCGGAGCCAGCAAGUGCCGGCGCACUGCAGAAAUAGUCUAAAUUUCGAAAGUGUCAAAACAAAACAUACUUUCGCUAUAUUUAUAGUGGUUGGUUGCAACCCGUCGUUAAGCCAGUGGGGAUGGGUUUUUCCGCGGACGGGUAUCGACGCGGUAUCGCUUACAAACUCUGCGGCGCGCGCGGUGGAAACCCGGCUAACCAUAAUCAAACAACCACCACCCACUCGCAGGAGGCAACCGGCCGCCCACCGACGACAACGCAACCGAACUGACAGACGACUUCAGCCAACUGGAAGGAAUUGUUCCUCGAUUUGUUUGCACUCAUUCGUGGUGUGCCGUUUGUUGUUGUUGUUAUUAGUAUUAUUAUUGUUUGUUACUUUUGUUUGUUGGCUGGCGGGUGUUACAUCCGAGGUAAGGAUUUUUUCCGAACAACUUAAACCGUUCGCUAAUGGAUGACUUGAUGAAAAUCUACACCCCCCCGCCCCCUGCCUUUGUCGCCAAUUUCCAUCCACGACUGACGACAACCAUCGAACGAAACUGAUCCUAAAUGUCAUUCGGUGAAAACUUCGGAAGCCGCUCCGCUGUCGCUUGAUUUAAUUUAUUCGGUUGAUCGAAUAAGGGCCCGUGGCAUGCACUGAUUUGCGGGUCCCGUGCGAACACGAGGGGGCGCUCCAUGGAAUACGGUUUAGAUGGCAGUAGGCGAUAUAUUUCGGUAUGGAUUUGAGAAUGAGAAAAGCCGAUACUUUCAGAUUACCUUUCAUCGUAAUGUUCAACUGCGAUCUAAAUGUUCGUGCUUAAGUUAGAAAUAAUUUUACGACAUGACACUCAUCAUAGUACAUUUUAAAAUAAAAUUUAAGCUUAUCGUCAACACUAAUUGGGACGACUUGAGGUACAUUCUGUAAUAGUGAUGUCUACAAAAUUUGUAGUAUUCUUUUUACCCUAUCAAAUCUGUUUGCUAUGGACCUAUUGCGAUGGCGGAUGGCUUCGUUAUGGACAGUACUUUAGAUCUGGGGGAUAACAUAUCAGUGGUGGCUAGUGGUGAGAUUGAUGGACGAAAAAGGAACUAAUUGUCAUGUGCGUUUGUGUUGGAUAUGAGACUUGAGAGAACUGUUGCUCAAGUUGUGUUGAGUUCAUCGAGAUCGACUCGCUUCUUUAUCGUUUUGAGUGGACCAGUGGACCGCACACAUACCGUUCUUAGAAAUGUGUCAUAUACACAACACACUAGUAAUCGUUGAUAAAUACCUGUAGUUUUCCCUGAAGAUGUCACUCAGUGACGAAACGUCGGACAGUAGAAAACAAAAGUCGUUCCAUUUAUUUGAGACAGCUCAGCCGAAAAUACACCUAGUGCACAUUAAAAAAGAAAGGAGCAAUGUUUUUAGAAUGAUAAAGUAAAAGAAAAAUGUAGAUAAAAAUCGAUAGAAAGAAGAAAACGAGGAUAGAAAGAAAGACAUGCUCCCUGUGUUAAAGAUAGAAAGCAAAAAGGAAAAUAACCUGAUAGCAACUACAAGUUUGAAACGGGAAGAAACAACAAUGGGAAGGUUAUAGAACAAAUAAAGGAAGCACAAGAAGCAAAACUAUUACGUUAAGAGCAAAUGGGAUUUGAAAAAAAAAAACGAAAAUCAUCCACUAUCUAAACAGAAACGAUGCAGUGAAUAAAAAUAACGAAGAAGAAAUUAUUACUAACGUGUCCUAAUUUCGUGAGGUACUAAAAAGAUAAUUGAAAAGCGAGAGGAGGAAAACGGGGAUCAAAAUGAGAAGAAAAUAACAGAAAAAAAUACUCGAAGACUAAAACCAUGGUGAACUAUUAAAGAGAGGAUUUAUAAUGAAAAAGAGCAAAAGAAUAAUUAAAUGAAGGCAUUCAAAAAAAAAACAGAGUUAGCGAGAGAAUGGGAGAUAAAUAAAAAUAAAGUAGAGAUGAAAAGGGAACAACGUUCAAAAAAAAAGUUAUAAAAAAGAAUACACCAAAUUGAAUUGACAAAAGAGAAAAGCAGAGAAGAGAGUACAAGAUAAAAUGAAAGGAUUAAAUAGUAUCAAAAUACUGAAAAAUCACAUAACUAUCACCUAAAAAAAGUUACGAAAAAAAUGUUAGGUAUUAAAAAAAUUUAACUACACUUUUAAUCGACUGUUAGUUUACUCAGAGGAUUUUCUUUCGGCUUCGCAAAAUGUGAAAAGAAAACGAUAUUUUUCUCUACACUGGCAUUUCGAUUAAUCUAUAUUCUUCAUGGAAACAAAAUUGUAUUUUGUAUCAUGUUUAGCUAAUUUAAUGUAUUUUUGGAUGUUCUGUCAGGUUGAUAAUUACCUGUUUUCACAAUUAAUGCUAUAGCCGAAAAAACAUUUUACAGGAAAUUGUUCCUUCCGGAAAUGAUAUUUUAUGUGCAUAAUUUGCGAAACAGUUUCUAAAAAAAUAUUUAGUCUUAAUUGACUUGUAGAGCCUUAUUGUAGAAUAUAGAUUAUACGAAACGUCGGUGUAAAAAAAUUUAAAAAAAUAUUUCAAACUGAAAUAAGAAAACUCGAAUAAGAAAAACCAAUAUAAAAGAGGGCAAAGAAACAGGUGGAUGAGAAUAUACCAAAAAAAAAAUCAAAAAAGGAAUACGAGAAUAGAAAAGAGUACUGAAAUAUUAAUAUACAAGAAAACUAAUAUUUUAGGGAAUGAAAAAUCUUUUAUCAUAUUAUAGUUUAAUAUUGUCAAUAGAAAUAGAAAUAUGAGAGAAAUAAAAGUGAAUAAAAACAAAAGAGAAGCGAGGAGACGGAAUAAAAAUAGAAAAAAAAACUAAAACUAUAACUGAGAUAGAGAAUGACUUGGAGAAAAAAUGAAAAUUAUCCAGGACCGAAGCAAUAAGAAUGUAAGAAAAUAAGGAAAAAGUUGAAUAAAAAUCUCUAACGUUUCUGAUAUUUGAGAGAUACUGACUUCCCACUUAAAGAAUAGACUGCUUCCAAUUGGAAAGUAGAAGAAGACAAGAAAGGACAACAAAAUGGAAAAAAUGUUUCAAAAGAAUCACAAUGGUGAAAGAAUAAAAAACAAAAAGAGAACUCAGAACUGAAUUCGCAUCAUUUAUAAGGAAAGUAAAACAAACUGAUGAACCACAACAAACAAGAAAGCUAUUGCAUAAAAAUAAAAUGUGAAAAUAUGGACAAAGAAAAAUGAACACAGACAGGAAAAAGGAAAACAUCAAAUAGUUUUAAAUAUAACGAUGUAUAGAUAAAAAAGCCGGAAGGCAAACAGUAUAAGACUAAGAACAAUCAAGAAAAAUAUAAACUUCGGAAAAUUUCGGAAUAUAUUGGUAAAUAUUACAUAUACAAUCAAGAAACAUGCAAAUAUUCAGAAGAGAAAGAAGCAGAGAGAGAAAUAAAGAGAGAGCAAUAGAAAAAAAAAGAAAAAGAAAGAAAUAUAAAAAGAGGAAGAAGAGAAAUAGACAAGGAGAAAAAGAAGAAGAGAGAGGGAGAAAGAGGGAGAGAGAAGGUGGAAGAAAGAGAAAGAGAGGUAGUGGGCUGAGAGAGGAAGAUAAAGGGAGAGAGAGGAAGGGAGAGACAUAAAGAGAAAAAAGGGAGGGAGUAAGAAAAAGUAGGAGAGAGAGGAAGCAAGAAGAAGAGAAAGAGAAGAAGAAUGAGAGAUAAAUAGAGAAAGAGUGAGAGAAAGAAAUAAAGAGGAGAUAGAGAGAUAGAGAGAGAGAAAGGAAAGAGAGAGAGAGUUGUAAUGCGAUCAAAUGCAAUUUAAAAGGAAAGGAAAAAAACAGCAGAUAAGAGAGAUAAAAAUGGUUAAAAAUGCAUCUCGGAAAAGGUACCGAAACGAAAACAAAAAAAACACGGAAGUAAAACUAAAACAGUAAAACAGUAGGUGAAAAAGAUAUUGAAAGAGAGCCAGAAUAAUCCAAAACCGGAACAAUAAGAAUGCUAAAAUUAAUUUAUGAAAAAGCCUAAAACAACAUUAACUUUUCUUCUCUUUGAGUGAAAAAACCACUAAAUGGAGAAAAAAAAAGAAUAAAGGACUAAUAGAAGAACACAAUAGUGAAAGAUAUAAAAAAGUGAGAGAUAAGGAGUGGAAGGAAGAGGAAGAGAAGGAGAGAGCUGAGAGAGGAAGAGGAGGACAUAAAAAGAAAAAAAGGGAGAGAGUAAGAGAAAGAGAGAAGGGGAAAGAGAGAGCUGUAAUGUGAACAAAUGCAAAAACAGCAAAUAAGCAAAAGAAAUCUAGGAAAUGGUAACAAAACUGGAACAGAAAUAAACAGAAAGCAAAACUAAAACAGUUGGUUGAAAAGAUAUUGAAAGAGAGUCAGAACUAUCCAGCACUGGAACAAUAAGAAUGCAAGAAAUACAAUUAUAAAAAAGUAUAAAACAACAUUAACUUUUCUUCUCUUUGAGAAAACAAACAACUAAAUGGAGAAAAAAAAAGAAAAAAGGACUAAAAGAACUUCACAAUAGUAGAAGAUAUGAAAAAUUAAGAGAGCCCGAAUUCGUUAUCGCAUCAUUUGGACACAAAAAAAGAAAAUCGAAGCACCGUAACAAACGGAAAAAUCUAUUGGCUUAAAAUAAAACGGGAAGCACCGUAACAAACGAAAGAAUAUAUUGGCUUAAAAUAAAGAGAAUAGACAAAAAAAAUAAAAAAAUUAUGUUCCAAAUGAAACACAAACAAGAAAAAGAGUAGUUAAAAAGAAACAAAAUUUUAUCAGAAAGUUCGAAAAUCAACAGAAUAAAACAAUUGAAUGCCAAUGAACAGCGGGAAUUUUUGAUAGUUGCUAAAAAAUACAAAUGCUUAAAAGUUGAGCAGAACAUACAAUCUGAAAAAAAACAUCAAAAACAUUAGCAAAUUUCAUCGGAAAAAUACCUUUUAAAAUCG